rfam:Arthrobacter chlorophenolicus A6, complete genome.
GGUCAUGAGUGCCAGCGCCAAGCCCCGGCUCGCUGGCCGGCAACCCUCCAUCCGCGGUGGGGUGCCCCGGGUGAGGACCUGGUUGUCCGGCAACGGCCGGGCGGCAAGCGCGGCCC